UACAGAGGAGCCAAGCGUUGUCCGGAUUGACUGGGCGUAAAGCGCACGCAGGCGGAUGCGCGCGUGGGGUGUGAAAUCUGGCCGCUUAACGGCCAGGCGCCAUCCCAUACUGCACAUCUGGAGGGCUGCAGAGGUCGAUGGAAUUGCCGGUGUAGUGGUGAAAUGCGUAGAGAUCGGCAGGAACACCCAGGGGGAAACCAGUCGACUGGGCAGCACCUGACGCUGAGGUGCGAGAGCGUGGGGAGCGAACCGG
rnacentral:rRNA from 1 species